rnacentral:rRNA from 1 species
CCUACGGGAGGCAGCAGUGAGGAAUAUUGGACAAUGGUCGGGAGACUGAACCAGCCAAGCCGCGUGAGGGAUGAAGGUACAGAGUAUCGUAAACCUCUUUUGUCAGGGGACAAAGGCGGGGAAGCGUCCCCGGAUGAGUGUACCUGAAGAAAAAGCAUCGGCUAACUCCGCGCCAGCAGCCGCGGUAAUAUGGAAGGCCCGAGCGUUAUCCGGAUUCAUUGUGCUGAAAGGGAGCGUCGGCGGGCGUGCAAGUCAGCUGUAAAAUCACGCGGCCCAACCUCGCCCCGCAGUUGAAACUGGACGCCUUGAGUUCACAACAGGCAGGCGGAAUUCGAGGUGUAGCGGUGAAAUGCAUAGAUAUCACGAGGAACCCCGAUUGCGAAGGCAGCCUGCCGGGGUGCGACUGACGCUGAGGCGCGAAGGUGCGGGUAUCAAACAGGAUUAGAUACCCCAGUAGUC